UACAGAGGGUGCAAGCGUUGCUCGGAAUUAUUGGGCGUAAAGGGUAGGUAGGUGGUCUCAUUUGUCUAGGGUGAAAUCCUUGAGCUUAACUCAAGAAGUGCCCUGGAAACGGUGAGACUGGAGUCCUGGAGAGGGUCGUGGAAUUCCCGGUGUAGCGGUGAAAUGCGUUGAUAUCCAUAGGAACUCCGGUGGCGAAAGCGGUGUGCUGGAUCCUUUCUGACGCUGAGGCGCGAAAGCCAGGGGAGCAAACGGG
rnacentral:rRNA from 1 species